UGGAGGCAGCAGUGAGGAAUAUUGGACAAUGGGGGAAACCCUGAUCCAGCAAUGCCGCGUGUGUGAAGAAGGCCUGCGGGUUGUAAAGCACUUUCGGAGGGGACAAAAAGCGUCGGGCUAACACCCAGGCGUCUUGAUUUAACCCUCAUAAGAAGCACCGGCUAACUCUGUGCCAGCAGCCGCGGUAAUACAGAGGGUGCAAGCGUUAAUCGGAAUUACUGGGCGUAAAGCGCACGCAGGCGGCUGCAUAAGCCGGUCGUGAAAUCCCCGGGCUUAACCUGGGAAUUGCGAUCGGGACUGUGCGGCUAGAGUGUUGGAGAGGGCAGCGGAAUUCCAGGUGUAGCGGUGAAAUGCGUAGAUAUCUGGAGGAACAUCAGUGGCGAAGGCGGCUGCCUGCCAAACACUGACGCUCAGGUGCGAAAGCGUGGGGAGCAAACAGGAUUAGAUACCCCGGUAGC
rnacentral:rRNA from 1 species